rnacentral:lncRNA from 1 species
AUGCUGUAUAGUAUGAGUUCAAGAGUUCUGUCUAAUGUUCCUAGAAAAUCUUUGGUGACAGUCAGUGAUGAUUUGUUUUUCAUCAUACAAGGAAGAUUUGUGAAACAGUGUUAUAAAGGAAAAGUAAUAAAGAAUGAUAAACCUUCCUUAUGUAGAUCACUUUGCUGUGAAUUUGUCGUCUUUUUGUUUUGUUUUGUUUUUAAGCCAUACUCAAUGCCAUACUCUGUGAUCAUCAGGGUGGACUCCACCCCUGAAAGUGAUAGAGAAAACCAGUUCUCCACAGGGAACAGAACAGGGAGGCUGGUGAAAGUAUAAGACAAGGCAGAUAAGGUCCAGCCAGGUAGGAUCCUGUUGGCCAUGUAACGAGGAGAUCAUCUCAGGUAAGAAUGUGACUUUUAAUCUCACUACAGAGUUAAAUACUCUGGAGUAGCUCUGACAUGAGAACUUCUCAUUACUUUCUGUGGGUUGUGCCAACUGAGAUAGAUAACCAUGGCUCUUGUUGUUGUCGUUAUACACAAAACCAGAAGUGAUUUAUAAACAAGAAAAUAAGAAUACCAAACUUGAGUCAUCAUUAGUUUAGUUACUAGUGGAAUAAAUGCAUUAUAAUUAGGCCUUUUUGUAUAAGGAGAGAAAACGUCAUAGAUAUAUACACAGGAAUGAUAGGGUUUAAAGUUCACCCUAGAUACACCUCUUUGCUCUCUUAUUAGGGUAAUUUUGGGGUGGUCUGGCUAAAUAACUGUUCUCUCGCCUUAAGGGUAUAUAACAUUUCCAUCAAGAAAACAAAUAAAGUGGAAGCUUUAAAGAAUAUUUUGAAUCAAUUAUAGAAACUCUUAUUAAGGAGGUUUGGUCAAAGGUAUUAGAGACCAUUAGUAUAAUAACUUUGAAAAUCUAAUGCAAUAAUCCCUUCUUUAGAUCUCUGAAAUUCAUCUAUGCCCACUAAAAGUCUCUCCUCAUACUUGUUAUGUAAACAAAAGUUGCAUGUUUUUAUAUUUAUUUCACAUUUAAAGAUAAAAACCUGUGUUGUGGAUAGGGUUUUGUUUUGUUCUUUAUGCAUGUAUUUUGUCUUAUUUUAAGCAUUUAUCCCUCCUGCCCCUACAGUUUUAUGGUGGGAUCAUGGACUUUUUCCCUCCUUGUAUUCAGUGUAGAAAAGUAGGUAAGGGAUGCCUGGGUGGCUCAGUAGU